rnacentral:rRNA from 1 species
UACGGGGGGGGCAAGCGUUGUUCGGAAUUACUGGGCGUAAAGGGCUCGUAGGCGGCCAACUAAGUCAGACGUGAAAUCCCUCGACUUAACCGGGGAACUGCGUCUGAUACUGGAUGGCUUGAAUCCGGGAGAGGGAUGCGGAAUUCCAGGUGUAGCGGUGAAAUGCGUAGAUAUGACACAGAACACCAAUUGCGAAGGCAGCUCGCUAAACUGUAACUGACGCUGAUGCACGAAAGCGUGGGUAGCAAACAGG